UACGGGGGGGGCAAGCGUUGUUCGGAAUUACUGGGCGUAAAGGGCGCGUAGGCUGCUCGUUAAGUCGGGUGUGAAAACUCUGGGCUCAACCCAGAGCCUGCAUUCGAAACUGACGAGCUAGAGUUCUGGAGGGGAAAGCGGAAUUCCUGGUGUAGCGGUGAAAUGCGUAGAUAUCAGGAGGAACACCGGUGGCGAAGGCGGUUCUCUGGGCAUGUCCUGACGCUGAGGAGCGA
rnacentral:rRNA from 1 species